GAGAUCGGAUCCUGGGGUCUGACAUGUUUUGUUCAGUCUCAACUUUGCUGCCUAUAAGUUUGUAACUUUAUAUGAGCAUCUAAUCAUUCUCUGCCUCAUUUUACAAUCUUCAAAAUAGUACCCGUGACUGAUUGAUCACUCAGUGAAGACUGAGAACUGUGGAAAUUAAUUCAUUGUAUAUCUACAGCACCUCAAUAAGAAUCAUAACUGAAGAGAGCACAAAUUGCUGCAUGUCACUGUACAGGAAGAGAAACGGCAGCUGAUGAGGCUGGAGAACGAUCCUUGGAUCUGGAUGUUGUGCAGUGUGGCAUCUGGACGCUGGCAAACCUACGCUUUAAUUCCAGCUCUUCCACAUACUAGGUUUCAUGGAAGCAGGAAAUAUGGCAGAACAGCUCUGGAUAUACCACUUUGCUGAGCCAGGGCAUGGAGAUACAGCACAGUACAUGAAGAUGGAAGGAAUUCCACAUGGAAGGAGAAAAGUGGGCCACAUUGAACUGUUUAAACUUUUGACUGACUUCGAAUUUAUGCAUUUCCAUGGACUUACAGCUCACCAUAUUUUAAUAUACUACACAGCAUCUUACAAAGAAUUACCGAUAGGCAUAUCAUCAUGAUUAUUUAGAGAAUUGGAAAGAAUUUUUUUCACAAAGGGGUCAUUUACCCUUAGACAAAAUUAGCAUUUAAAUUUGUUGCUUACAAUAUUUGGUUUGUUAUUAU